GCGCGUGGGGACGCACAGCGAGUGGCAUUGCGCCAUGGCCUGGGCCCCUCUCCUCCUCGCGGUGCUCGCCCACGGCUCAGGUUCCCUGGUCCAGGCAGCAGUGACUCAGGAACCGGCCUCGCUGGACGUGUCCCCGGGAGGCACCGCCAAGAUCUCCUGCUCUGGUAGCAGCUACUAUGGCUGGUACCAGCAGAAACCUGGUGGUUCCCUGGUCCCUGUGAUUUAUUACAACGACAAGAGACCCUCGGGCAUCCCUGAACGAUUCUCCGCUUCCACCUCUGGCUCCACAAACACCUUAACCAUCACUGGGGUGCAAGCCGAGGAUGAGGCCGUGUAUUACUGUGGUGACAACAGUGGUGUUUUCGGCGCGGGGACCCAGUUGAACGUCCUGGGCCAGCCCACGGUCUCCCCCAGUGUGUAUCUCUUCCCUCCGUCCGCGGACGAGAUCAGCUCAAAGCAAAAGGCCACUUUGGUGUGUCUGAUAGCCGACUUCUACCCUGGUACUGCACCUGUUGUCUGGAAGGUUGAUGGCAUCACCAGAACCGCUAACGUGGAGACCACCACGCCCCAGAGGCAGAGCAACACCAAGUACAUGGGUAGCAGCUACCUGUCGUUGACUGCUGACGAAUGGAAGGGACAUGACACGUACACCUGUGAGGUCACGCACAGUGGCCAGAAAUUCGAGAAGGUCAUCAAGAGAUCUGAGUGCUCCGUCUAA